GGGCCUUUAGCUCAGUUGGUUAGAGCUGCAGACUCAUAAUCUGUAGGUCCGGGGUUCAAGUCCCUGAAGGCCCA
rnacentral:tRNA from 1 species